GACAACGUGUCCGAGUGGUUAAGGAGAUAGACUUGAAUCGUCACGAUUGGAUAUCUAUUGGCUUCGGCCUCGCAGGUUCGAAUCCUGUCGUUGUCG
rfam:Fusarium langsethiae strain Fl201059 Fl201059_contig308, whole genome shotgun sequence.